AGAGCUGUCACAUUGAAGAAGGUGAAGAGGAAGGUGGCGAGAAAGACGAGGAGGAGGCCGAAGGCUCAUUUGAGGAGAAGGAGAUGGAGAAGCAGAAGCUGCUCUACCAGCAGUCACGGCUGCACAACCGCGGGGCGGCCGAGAUGGUGCUGCAGAUGAUCAGCGCCUGCAAAGGGGAGCCAGGCGCCAUGGUGUCCUCCACCCUCAAGCUGGGCAUUUCCAUCCUGAACGGAGGCAACGUGGAAGUGCAGCAGGUACGGCUGG